ensembl:rRNA 5S_rRNA 5S ribosomal RNA
GUCUACGGCCAUACCACCCUGAACGCGCCCAGUUUCAUCUGAUCUCAGAAGCUAAGCAGGGUCAGGCCCGAUUAGUACUUAAAAAUAGAAAAAAUAGCUGUGGGUAAUGAUGGGUACCUGUAGUCC